AGUCAUAGCUUUUAUAUUUAUUUUCUUAAAAGCAGAGUUGGGUAAUUAAGUGACUGGAUAGCAAGAAAUAGAAUCAUAUUAUAAAUUAUAUUUAUUAUUUUAUGUGGUUUUGGAGGAAUAAAUAGAGACAAACCAUAGGCAACAAACAGCAUCAUUGCCAAGAUAGCAAAUGCCAUGAAGCACAAGGAGCGAGCCAUAGUCUCUUUGAAUGAUGAAAAAUGAUAGGAAUUUUAAUAAAAAGAAAGAUUGCAAUUCAGAGGUGUGAAAGAACAGUAACUCAAUAGAGGUAUUUAUAGGCGCUGAACUAAGAGUAGAUAAAAUUUAAAGCAAAAAGUAAACAAAUAAAAUGAAAUAAUUAUUGCACUGGAAUUGUUGGUAAUUUGAAGUUUGGAGAUACAUAUUUCUUAUUUUUUUUCUUUUUCUUUUUUGUCUUUAACCAAUGUCCGAUAUUAGGACCUCAACUAGUGUUGAUUCGGCCCGUGUAUAGUAAAAAACAAUAACAUCAAUAAUAAUAACCCAGAAAAUUUUCACUAGUGGGGUCUGGGGAGGGUAGUGUGUAUGUAGACCUUACCCCGACCCUGAAGGAGUAGAGAGGUUGUUUUCGGAAGACCAUCGGCUUAAGAAAAUAAAAAAGACAAAAGGAGAUAAUAUUAGUAUCACCUUAGAAAUCAUAGGAAAAAUAGGAACAACAUGAAAUCCAGAAAAAAGAUGCAAAGCAAAGCAAAAAUUAUAGCUAGUAAAUAGGUCAUGCACUGAAAAGCAAAAAGCGUAAUAGUAAGACACAACGUUGUCACUAUCUGUCUUAGACAAAAAACCUGUCAGCCUAGUCUCACAAAGGUACAAAUUAAGACAAGAAUCAACUACCUUCUAACCUAGAACUCUAAUACCCGUGUAUAGUUAAAAGUACUUCUUAUAACAUGCUCAUGACUUGAAAUCGAGACUUCUAUCUAAGGGUGUAGGAAUCAUAUCGAUUGCACUACCAUUCGUGAUGGUUUAAAAAUAUCCCAAUGUUGUAGCAAAAUUAAAACUUAUUCUAAUGAUAAAUGUUGUUUUAGGCACACUACGACACAAGAGGAGGGUUAACUGGAUAGUUAACACUUAAAAAUUCUUCCAAAGUUUUUUAGAAAUUUGCUUAACCUAUAGUAUCUAGACGAUGGAAUUGGUUCUCAAAUUUGUCCUAGUUACUGCGCAAGUAAUAACAACGCGGAAUUAAGGAAAGAACAACGCACAAACUUUUACGAAAAUACUAUUGUCACUCAAAGGUGUAAAGAUCACGACCUAACCUAAUAGCAUUUAACCCAAACUCCGCUAAAAUAAAGAGCCAUUACUCAUAUUACAACUUUGUAACCUAAGAGAUUAAGUCCAAUCACUUUCCCCAACAAUCACUAGGUUGUUGCCCUUCGAUUUAACUCUAACUUGAAAUAGAUUAUUUGGUAUCCUAAGCUCAAAGAGUCAUAUGGUGCAAAUUAUUCGGUGUACCUUUAUAAAAUCGAGUUUUCAAAUUCCAUGUUUGUCUUGUUGUUUUUUUCUAUCUUUUCCUACAAUUAAACCCGGUGGGUAAUAUAUUCGUUGUAAGAACGUCAAGAUUAAACCCAUCCAAUGUAAAUACUGAAUCUAUCUCUUUAUAAUAAUGCACGGUGCACCCAUCUUCUUAAACUACUGGUUACUCAUCUCUUUCAAUGGCGAAGCCACAUGGUCACAAGGGUGGUUAGUUGACCACCCUUUGUUGAAAAAGUGUACUGUUUAUAUAGAUCAAAUAUUAUAUUUUAGAGGUAUAUAACACAUAUUGAACACCCUUUGUCGGAAAAAAUUCCACUUCUUUCAAAUUUGAAUAUCCUUAAAAAAAUUCCUAGCUUCGGCACUGAUCUCUUCACCAUGAAGCUGAAUCACUUAAUCUACUUGGUUCUUCACAAGUCACACCAAACUUAUGCCAAAAAUUUAAUAGAAGUUAAAGUUGUACAAAUUCAUAUAGUACAAAGAUAAAUUUGAUGUUUUACCAGAACAUAACACUGAGCUCCACUGCUCUCGCAACAGGUGAAGGAAGAGGUUUAAUAUCAACCUUUAUCUUCUUCAUGAAUAUCAAAAUUGUCCAAAUGGCAGAAUCAGAUACUGCAGUUUCAAGUACAGUUUACUUCAUAUGAGUUGAGAACUCAUUCUCACAAUAUAAGAAUGCACAGUUCGGGUCAGAAUUUGAAGUUUAUGAGUUCGAAAUUCUAGCAAUAUAAAAAAACGGAAAAGGCUUAAAACUGCCACUCAACUUUCAGAAAUGGUCUAUCCAUGCUAUCCGUUAAAAAAUGCUCAUUUCAUGCCACUACCGUUACACAUUUGGCCCAUCCAUGCCAUUAUUGACUAACGACUCAAUUUUUAUAUUUAUUUUAAUAUUUAUAACACCCACAUUUUCACGUGUCAUGUCGUUAUUGGUCCGAGUUAACCCAUGCCCCACUUAAUUUUAACCUUGGUUAGGUCCAUCUACCCAAACCCACCCGAUUAAAACAUACCCGAAUCAUUCACCCAACCCAAACUCUUCAUACCAAAUCCCCUUCUCUCCAAUCGUCUUCCCCAAGAUGUAAAUCUUGGCAGUGGUUGUUAUGACGAUGAUGGUGAUGACCACCGUAACAUAUCCGAACACCAUCUCCACUGCCACCGCUUGUCACCGAAAACUUCCACUUUGCAACCUUGUCUUCUUCUUCUUCUUCUUCAAGUAUUUCUUCAUCAUUUUCUUGAAUUGCUUCAAUCACCUCUUCUUCAUCGUCCAGGGGGAAAUCUUCAUUUUCCUCUUAUGUUUCUUCAUCUUCAUCACGAAUGAGAUGUAAUUUCAGUCCUCCAUCUUGGCCAGAAGUAAGGAGAGUUACGAGCCGACCAAUUUUCACCUCUGUCAACUCUAACCUUCUAUCUUUUCUCACCGCACGCAUGAAGAAAUUUGACUUUCCAUCUUGGUUUAAGGACGAUAAUGGCGGCGGAAACUUCUUUUCUUUCUUCUUCGAAUUACAUCUUUGCCAGCACCUUGAACUAAGUGGGGAAGACGACCGGAGAGAAGGGGGUUUGGUAUGAAGAGUUUGGGUUGGGUUAUUGAUUUGGGUAUAUAUUAACCGGGUCGGGUUUGAGUAGGUGGACUUAACCAAGGUUAAAAUUAAGUGGGGCAUGGGUUAAUUCAGACCAAUAACAACAGGACACGUGGAAAUGUGGGUGUUAUAAAUAUUAAAAAAAUAAAAAUUGAGUCGUUAGUCAAUAAUGACAUGGAUGAGCCAAAUGCGUAACGGCAGUGGCGUGAAAUGAGCAUUUGUUUAAUGGAUGACAUGGAUAGACCAUUUCUGAAAGUUGAGUGGCAUUUUUAGGCCUUUUUCGUAUAAAAAAUAAAAAGUUGCGGGUUAAAUAGUAAUAUAAUCAAAUAGUAUUUUCUUUUUAGUAUUUAUGUUAUAUCUCUUCGUUUUAUACACUUUUAAGAAAAAUAUUAAAUAACCCUAAUCAUAAGAGUAUACGUUAGUCAAAAUUUACCUUUUUUUAUACCAUAGAAGGUCAUUUUCAUUACAAAUACACAAAUAAACUUAGUGCAAGAUUGCACAAAGGAUUGAAGUGCCACACUUAUUUAAAGUGUAACAAAAGGCUACUAAAAGCCAAUUAAAACACAGCAUUAGCUACACUUUUAAGAAAGGUAGAAACUUUAUUAUGUGUGACACUGCAUCCUUAAUUUCUUCUAAUCUCUAAUUAGUUAUCCAUUAUCUCUUCUUCAAGCAAAGCUGCAGCCAAAGUUUUUGCUUCCUCAACCAAAGUUUCAGCUCCUGUUUUGAUCAUCUACUCAUCAAACACACAUGGCUUAGUGCAUAGGCACCUUCUGAGGAGUUUGCUACAAUGACCAUCAGUAAAUUUCUCACUGAUACAAGCUUUUCUGCAUGGUGGUUUGGUAAUGCAUAUUACAGGGAAUGUAUUGCUUUCUGCUUUGCAUUCUCUAGCCUGCACCUCUACAAUCAUUGACAAGUACUUACCAAAGUUAGAAUAAAAGAAAAGAUAGCUAGAAUUGAAAGAAACCAUUAAAACAUGAAUAUAUUCAAGGUUCUUAAAGAUACAUACAUACAUACAUGUGUGUAUAUAUAAGGGCAGCCCAGUGCACAAAGGGUCUAGGGAAUCGGUGUCAUGACCCAGAUAUCCCACCCUCGGGAGUCGUGAUGGCGCCUACUAAUGGAAGCUAGGCAAGCCGACCAUUUGAACAAAUUAAUUUUUCCCCAUUUUAAUUCUUUAACAAGUGUGAAUCAACAGUUUAUAAACAAACAACGAAAAUUUAAAACAAGCGGAAGAAACAAUUAAACCAUUUAAAUGAUUCCAACAUAAUUUCUUAAUAAAAAACUACCCAAGACUGGUGUCACAACUCCACAGACGGUCUAAGAAUUCUAUAACCAAGGUCCGAAGAAUAAAUGCAACAUUGUUUUUGGAUUACAUAAGUGAAACAGGAAGAAAAGAUAGAGGGAGACGCUAGGGCCUGCGGACGCCUGCAGGACUACCUUGGAUCUCAGUGUGGACUGAAGGUAGCCACCAAGCUACGGUCCAAAAGCUGCUGCUCCGGGAUCUGCACACAGUGCAGAGUGUAGUAUCAGCACAACCGACCCCAUGUGCUGGUAAGUGCCUAGUCUAACCUUGGCGAAGUAGUGACGAGGCUAGGACAAGACUACCAAAUAAACCUGUGCAGUAAAAGCAUAUACAUAUAUAGCAAGUAAUAAUAAAGGACACUAUCAGUUUAAGAUGGGAAGGGGAUAUGUUAUGGGGAAUAUCAUUUGCCAACAGUAACUCAGGAAGAAAACACAAAGAACAAUUUAAAAUUCGAAGCAGAAGGAAUAAGGAAAAAAAACAAAUCAAUAUCCUUUUAUUGAAUAUCGUGAUGGUUUAAAAAUAUCCCAAUGUUGUAGCAAAAAUAAAACUUAUUCUAAUGAUAAAUGUUGUUUUAGGCACACUACGACACAAGAGGAGGGUUAACUGGAUAGUUAACACUUAAAAAUUCUUCCAAAGUUUUUUAAAAAUUUGCUUAACCUAUAGAAUCUAGACGAUGUAAUUGGUUCUCAAAUUUAUCCUAGUUACUGCAAGUAAAAGCAACGCGGAAUUAAGGAAAGAACGACGCACAAACGUUUACGUAAAUAUAAUUGUGGUUCGAAGGUGUAAAGAUCACGACCUAACCUAAUAGCAUUUACUAACUCAAACUCCACUAAAAUAAAGAGUCAGUACUCAUAUUACAACUUUGUAAUCUAAGAGAUUAAUUCCAAUCACUCUCCCCAACAAUCACUAGGUUGUUGCCCUUCGAUUUAAUUCUAACUUGAAAUAGAUUGUUUAGUGUCCUAUGCUCAAAGAGUCAUAUGGCGUAAAUUAUUUGGUGUACCUGUAUAAAAUCGAGGUUUCAAAUUCCAUGUUUGUCUUGUUGUUUUUUUCUAUCUUUUCCUACAAUUAAACCCGGUGUGUGAUGUAUUCAUUGUAAAAACGUCAAGAUUAAACCCGUCCAAUAUAAAUAUUGAAUCUAUCUCUUUAUAAUAAUGUACGGUGCACCCAUCUUCUUAAACUACUGGUUAUUCAUCUCUUUCAAUGGCGAAGCCACAUGGUUAGACCACCCUUCGUCAAAAAAUUGUACUGUGUAUAUAGAUAAAAUAUUAUAUUUUAGAGGUAUAUAACAUAUAUUGGACACCCUUUGUCGGAAAUUUUUUUCACUUCUUUCAAAUUUGAAUACAACAAAUUCCUAGCUUCGACACUGAUCUCUUCACCAUGAUGCUGAAUCACUUAAUCUACUUGGUUCUUCACAAGUAACAUCAAAACUUAGGCCAAAAAUUUAAUAGAGGUUAAAGUUGUUCAAUUUCGUAUAAUAUAAAUGUAUACGGUGAAAUCGGAGGGUCCAAUCUCUCAUUAUCAAAGCACCUCGGAAGACCGUCUCGAAGUCCCGAGGCUACAAGGCUACGAUCAGGACUCCUCCCUCGAGGUUUGUCGACACUCGAUGUUGAGAUAAUGUCAACCACGGCCACAGUGGAAACGGGGAGUUCCCAUGGCACGUGGCUAGGACUGACGAAACCUAGAGAGCUACUCUAAGACCCGAGUCAGGGUGUCAUCUAAUUGUCGCGUCUCCAUACCCUUGUAAUUAAUGCUUGUUAUACUAUGAAGGGAUUUCCCUCCUAUAUAAAGGGGAUCCUCCCCACUUUGUAGACUUUGUUGCUUCAGCUACUCCACACGAAAAAUACAUGAAUAUUCUUUUUGCCCUCUAGCAUACUCUCUUAAUAUUAUUGUUUUCAUUUAUUGUCUUCAUAUUUGUUCGUCAUUCGCCAUAAAAAGCCUUCGCUGAUUAUUUCAUAACUGUUAGCCCUACCCCGAUCACCCACGACAGCUCGAGCCCGAGCCCUGGCAUCAACCUCGAGGCCACAAAUCGAUAGGCUCGAGGCCCUGAAUAGCUCACGUAGCGGUUUGAUUAUAGCCUUCUCCCUAACUUUAUUUCGUCUCUAAGUCUCACAUACCCAGCAUCAACUGCUUAUCAAACUAGCAUAAAAAAUAGAUCACGUAUUUUUAGAGUCCCAUCAACAAAUUUAAUUGUCAUUACCAUUUUCACGGUAAACAGUUUGGCGUCCACCGUGGGGCUAAAAAUAAUAGUGAUUGUUUUCUUGCUGGUUUUACUACAUAACGCAAGUUAUCUUUCACGCUUUUUCUUUUCCAAUAUCUUCGAUUUCAGGUAAAAAUGUCUAACUCGGUAAACGGAGAUGAAAACAACAAUCUUGAGGACCAUGGGGAGAACGGUGUGGCUAUUCUAGGUAUUGUUGUGCCGCCACAAAACCAUGGGAAUGCGCCGGAGCCAAUCCCCGUGGACGCGGCCUCACGCGACGCCCAACGCAUCGGCAUAAGCUCCAACACUGACAGGAUCGUGCACCAAGGGGAUCAACAAGAAGCAUAGAAAACCCCAACUAGGGAAGAACGUGAGGUUAGCCUUCAUGUUAUUUUUGAAAUGUUGCAGGCAAAACAUCUAGUUAUUGCUCAGCUGCAAAGUCACCAGAAAACUCCUGGCACGGUAGCACCGGGGACAGCUCCCCCGGUCGAACAGGUACCUGAGAGAUCGAGCAAUAACGGGUUGAUAGCCGACCCUGUCAUCGUAAAAAUACUCGAGGACCUCACCAAAAGAAUCAAAUCAGGCGAGAAAAUGAUAGAAGCCAACGACAAAAAGGUCGAGACCUACAACUCCAGGGUCGACCAGAUUCCGGGCGCGCCACCGAUCCUGAAAGGUAUGGAUUCGAAGAAGUUCAUACAAAGGUCGUUCCCUGAGAAAACGGCCCUAAAACCCAUUCCAUAGAAGUUCAGAAUGCCGGAGAUCCCAAAGUACAAAGGGGCCUUAGACCCCAAUAAACACAUUACUGCCUACACUUGCGCAGUAAAGGAAAACGAUAUAAAGAACGACGAGAUCGAAUCCGUAUUACUGAAAUAGUUCGGGGAAACACUCUCGAAGCGGGCCAUGAUGUGGUAUCACAACUUAGCUCCUAACUCCAUAGACUCAUUCGCCAUGCUAGCAGACUCCUUCAUAAAGGCACAUGUCGGUGCCAUCAAAGUAGCAACGAGGAAAUCUGGCGUUUUCAAAAUUAAGCAAAGGGAGAACGAGAUGCUGCGAGAAUUUGUAUCUCGUUUUCAAAUGGAACUAAUGGAGCUACCGCCAGUCUCCGACGACUGGGCGGUGCAGGCUUUCAUUCAAGGUCUGAACGAACGAAACUCUAUGGCUUCAAAACAGUUGAAGCAAAAUUUGAUCGAGUAUCCAGCUGUGACCUCGUUGGACAUCCACAACUGGCACCAAUCGAAAAUCAGGGUCGAGGACGACCAGUUGGGAGCCCCCUUGGGCUCAGUAUACCAAAGCUGGAGCCAAAACAAAACAAAGCAAGAUAUCAGCCAUACAUCAAAGACAAGAGAACGCCUCGAGGCGCACCCCACCUCGCAAUGAUCGAAGGAUAGAUCGAGGACAGGAUCCUCGGGGACUCACCAACAGAGCCAGGUUCGAUAGGAACGCAGGGCCAACGGGGGCACCUCACUUGUCAGAAUACAAAUUCAACGUUGAUGUAUCGGACAUCGUGUUUUCCAUCAGUAAAAUCAGAGAUGCCAGAUGGCCCAAGCCUGUACAAUUAGAUCCUUCACAAAUGAAUCAUAACUUACUGUGCGAAUUUCACAACACGCACGGCCACAGGACCGAGGAUUUCCACCGAGGAUUGACACCAACUCCGAGAAGAGGUAGCUCGACUACUUAAAAAAGGUCAUCUCCGGGAAUUCCUUAGCGACCGAGCCAAAAAUCAAUUCCGGAAAAGAGAGGCGGCUAAGAAGAACGAAGAAAACAAGCCACAACAUGUCAUCCACAUGAUCUUGGGAGGAGUUGAUGCCCCACUGGAACCCGUAAUGAGAAGGACAAAAAUAUCCAUCACCCGAGAAAAGCAAACCUGGGGAUAUAUUCUUGAGGACGCCCUCACAUUCAGCAAAGAGGACACCGAGACCUUGUCUCAACCUCACAAUGAUGCACUGGUAAUCUCUUUCCUUGUGAAUUCUUUUCAAAUAAAACGUGUACUCAUGGAUCUAAGUAGCUCGGCCAACAUUAUCAGGUCGAGGGUGAUAGAGCAUCUCGAACUGCUUAACCAAAUCGUGCCCGCCACUCAAGUCCUCAACGGAUUCGAUUUGGCAAGUGAAACAACAAAAGGAGAAAUCACACUCCCUAUCACCGUGGCCGGCACGACCCAAAAUGCCAAAUUCCAUGUAAUCGAAGGAGUCAUGAGGUAUAACGCGUUGUUCGGACGAUCGUGAAUACACUGCAUGAGGGCAGUACCGUUCACUCUACACUAAAUGAUGAAAUUCCCGACAAAGGAUGGGAUUAAAACUGUCUACGAGGAACAACAUGCGGCAAGGGAAAUGUUCGCGGUACACGACGUGGCACCGACACCCAUGCAUCCGCUCGCAAAAAAUCCAAAGGGUAAUCAAGGCACACCCUCAAUCAAGCUCGAUUAAACAAAAUAAAGGACCGUACUGCAUCCUCAUCUCAAGUGAUUGGAACAUAUCAGUCCUCAAAACAUCGUCAGCGCGUCUCACACUAAGGUAUAACCAUCUCCCUUUUCAUUUCGUAUUUCAGACUAACCCUUAUGCAGGCGCCCGAUCGAAGCAGUCAGAAUGAUAAACAGUUCGAAUACCUUGAGGUUUUAAAGCAUCCGUUGCACUCUUUUCCUUCGACCGAGUUUUUAUCCCGAAAAGGGUUUUACCGGCAAGGUUUUUAACAAGGCAACAUCUGCAUGCUACCUAAGGGAGACUCAACAAGUGUCCGAGGCUUCUUUUACAAUCAACCUGGAACACUGAGGGGUACCCCCCCCCACGAAGGUCAUCCGCUUGUAAAAUCCAAGAGAUGUCGAAUCGGGUCCCCAUAGGAAAAUGAUGUAUCAGGCCAAACGGUCGAACGAACUGUGUUCGUAUAGCCGGGCCCCCGACAGUGAAAACAUGUACACUUAUACCAAAUAAUUGAAGAAUAUUUUUUUAUCAAAGCAUCUCAUGCUCCAAAAGAGGCCCAGCACUUUCGCAAAAACAACUCCUCCGUCGAAAACGCCCCAAACAAUCGGGGACUAGCGUCAACAAUUCAACACCUAAACGACCUCCGGGUCAGGACUCUAAAAUCAUAAGCCCUUAGAUACGGCAACGCGAACAUCGUGAAACACCUCCAAUGCCGAAAGUACCCAAAUACUCGGGGACUAGCGUCAAAAUCUCAAAGCAACACACGACCUCAGGGUUGAGAUCUCCAAAAUCGUAAGCCCUCGACGAGGCAAUGCAAAGUUUGCAAAAAAUGACUCCCGAGUCAAGAAACUCUCGACGACUCGGGGACUGCCAUCAGGUGCCACCUCCAUUGAAUUAACAAAACCCGAGGCCAUAAGACCCCGAGCAGGCAAACUCGGUCUCGUAAGACCUAGAUAAGGCAACAAUCAUAUCUGUAAGACCUCAAGCAAGUCAUGAACAAUACUUGUACCAAGUAUCCAAAACUGUAAGACCUCAAAGGCAUGAAAAAAUUGUAAGACCUUACUAAAGGCAUAAACCCGAUCUCAAAGUUUCGGCUAUAUAUUGAACUUGUAAGACCCCUAAAAAGGCAUACCCUCGAUAUAGAUGCCGAAACUAUCUCAUUAGGGAUCAAAAAUGGCUCCGACCAAACACAAGUGACCCCGGUCACACAGUUGUACCGGCCGAACUAACGCGACUCGGGGACGCCCGACCGUCGCUAAAAAAUCACAAUCCAUUACAUCGCAUCUACUUCGAAAAGCACCGGUUAAAUAGGCUACCCUCAGCAUAGUCAAAAAAGCUUCGACUAUGUCAGCUCCAAAUCACAGGCUUCGAGCUACUCAGCCUCCGAUCCAACACUCCCGAGAUGCUCGAACAUCGCCCUAUGUUACUCGAAAUUGAGGUUCUUCCCAAACCGAUGAUGAGUAAGGCAAAAAUUACUUCAAAAGUCCUUAACGAGAGGAAAAUAAAGCCUACAUAAAAGGUUGCAUCAACCAAACACGUAAGAGCCAUUGUAGCCAGCCUAAUGAGCCUUAGGGCCACACAGGCAAAAGGUUACUUCAACCAAAAGCAUAAGAGCCACUGUCGCCAGCCUGAAAUCUGAAAACUUGAGGGUCAAAAUGAGCUCGAGUCGUAACCCGAUUUGGAGACUGGAUCCAAAAUAGUUAACCCAAUAUGCCUAAGGGCAAAAGCGUAAGAGCCACUGUCGCCAGACCACUUACAUUAAAGGGUCGCAUCGGCCCAAGGCGUGAGAGCCGUUGUCGCUAGCCCACUUACAUUAAAAGGCUGCAUCAGGCCCAAGGCAUAAGAUCCAUUGUCGCCAGCCCUCUUACAUUAAAAGGCCGCAUCGGCCCAAGGCAUAAGAACUAUUGUCGCCAGCCUACAUACACUAAAAGGCCACAUCGACCGAAAUCAUAAGAGCUACUGUCACCAGCCUAAGCUUCGGCCAUUAGAAGGUCAAAUAAGCUUGAGUCGAUGCCUGACUUAGGGACUGAGCCUAAAACAGGUGGCCUAAAUAUGCCUAAGAGCGAAAGUACGUAAGAGCCUAUGGGCUAGUCCAAUGAGGCUCGGGGCCACAUCACUACUCUGAGGAUUCCUACCAACGCAAAAACCAGCUCGCCUGGUCAAAAUCAAGAUAGAAAAAGAUAUGAAAAAAGUAAAAUCGCAUGGUUUUCUUUCAUACACAUGCAAGAAAUGCAACCUCCAGCUACAAACAUACUUUGAAAAUGCUACAAACAGAUGACAAAACUUAUGCCCCCCCUAGAGGUUACGAUCUACCAGUCUCAUCCUCGGUUUCCUCGGCAUCGGGCAAAAGCAAUCGAGCAUCACGCUCAUCCGCCCAUUCUAAUGCCAAUUCUUCCGAGAGGGCGAAACCCUAUCACGGAUCUCCUCGAGGGUCUUUCUUCGAAACUUGCAACAAGCAUAUUCUUCAAUCCUCCCUUCGCGAUCAAGGAUCCUUCUCAGCUCAGCUUGAGCAUUAGCAGAAUCCUUUGAGUAGAUCGUCAUCUCCUGGUCAGCCUUAGUCCGGCUCAUUACAGCUUUUGCACAGGCAUCAAUGAUCUCAGCCCUAACUUUCAAAAGGUCGGACUCGAGCUUCGCAAUCCUUUUUGUCUGAACCAAAGCAUUGUCGCGAGCUAGGCGAAGUUGAUUUUCAAAAGUAGGAACUUUGGCUAGAGCAUCCUUCCCCCUAAAGCCUGAGCCUCCGCCAGAGCUUUCAAUUCAUCACGCUCAUGCCUGGCCCGACCAACUUCAUCUCGAAGGUGUUCCAGGGCCUCCGUCUUUCUCUGCAACUGAAAUAAACUAAGUAUUAGCCCCAGGAUCCAGGAGGCGGAGUGCACACUCACCCAAGACAGAAAGCUACCUGCUCUUUCAGGUGGUUUUCGUAAUUCAAGCUUCGGCCCACCUCAUACUGAAAAUGUGCCAACUCGACUUCUUUUUCAUCACAAAGGAGACUCAGGGAUCUCUCCUCUUCCAGAGCUUUCCGUAGCCUGGCUUCACAACAAAGUAGCCCGGACUUAAGCUUGUUGAAUGCAUGCAAAAGAAAACUCAAUAAGGAAGGGAAGGCGCAAAGCUCAAAAAACCUGUGCCAAAACUCACCGCAAAGUGAAGCCACUGGGAUUCCUCGAAAGCCGAACGCACACCUACCAAUCCAGUCCCUUCGGCCCUGAAAGAGCCUACUCUGGUUGAAGCGCGAUCACUCGGUGUACGCAACCCCAGGUUUCUAGUAUAUCCCGAAAUGCUAUCGACGGAAAAAGAAGGUGACAGCAAUGGAGAAACCCUCAUUCCAGCACCAGGAGCCGCGGACACUGUCACACCUCCUUUUCACUACACCAAAUGGGUAUAAGGGAGUUUUUUCCAAUUUAAGUGACAAUCGAAACAGGAUUAUUUAUAUUAAAUUCAGAGUCGACACUUGGAAUAAUUUAUGGCAUCCCAAAUCACUGGUUUAAAAUCUCGAAUCGAGGAAAGUUGACUCUAUUUAUGGUCUACGAACACAGAAAUCUGGGUAAGAAAUUCUGUUAACCCGGGAGAAGGUGUUAGACAUUCCCGAGUUCUGUGGUUCUAGCAUGGUCGCUUUGAUCAUACUUGGCUUAAACAAAUUGUUUGAUUAUUGAUUUUAGAACCAAUGUGCAUUUGCCUUUUUUAAUUAAGAAAUUAUCUUGAAACGGGUCACGCGUACGUGUACCCAUUUGACUGGCGCAUCAAAAAUCAUGUCACGCGAAUGUGUCCACAAUUAAUAACAUUUUAUUAUUAAAAAAAAUUGGUCAAAGUUGCACGAACUCAUACUCCGGUUUUAUUUUUAGAAUUGUAAUUAUGUCACGCGAACGUGUCCACAAUCACAAUGAUACAUUAAACGGGCCUAAAGCAACCACGAGCAUUUGUCAUUUUUAUAUCUAAGUUAUGAAAUUAAUACGAGGGCCAUAAAUGAUUAAAUUGUGGAUGGCACACCUCGGGCUAUGUGAACUAUAUUUCAAUUAGCGGCCUAUUACAAGAAUUUUAUUAUUAUGAAGGUUUGAUCGAAGUUGCACGAACGCAUACUCCGAAUUAGUUUUUAGAAUCGUAAUUAUGUCAGGCGAACGUGUACACAAUCACGAUGAUCUAUUAAAUCACGCCUAAAGCAAGCUAUGAGGUUGAAAGCAUUUUUCUAUAUUAGUAAAGAUAUAGAUGUGAGGGUCAUAGACUAUGUGAUCGGAGGGCCAGAGCUGUCACACUAUUCGAGCCAACAUCUACAAAGUGUACAUGGGAAAUCAAAAUUUCUUAUAGAAAAUAUAGCUAGUUUUAAUGAGUGUCAACUUUUAAUUGAAUUGGGUAACUAUCUAAGACAAUACUCAAAAGCAAAUCCUAUAAGGUAAUGCCUUUUUGCAAUGAUAGCAUGUCAAAAGGAUGAUUGUGGUGAUUUUCUACU
rnacentral:lncRNA from 1 species